GGUACUAAUCCUCGUGCGGUGGGGACGGUGGGAGGGGAAGUGGAGGCAACCCAGCGAGCUCUCGUAGAGCAACGAGCGUCUCGACGAUCCAGUUAAUGCGUGCGCCCUGACGUCUGAGGCGCCGGUCGAAGUCCCGAGCCACCUCACGCGCUGCCAGAGGCAGGUCAGCGUAAACGUGCUGCGGGUACUGUGGCGGCUCAGGAGCUGGCUGAACUGGUGGUAUCGGGAUCUCCUCGACCUGCUCCUCCUGCGCUGGAUCCUCGAAUAUAGGCUGAGCCUGAGGCUGAUCGAUGCCCAGAGCCUGUAGCUGAGCCUGCCGAGCGGCCUGCUGAACAUCAGGAGGGGCUAACACUCCAGGCCUCACCUCAAUAACAACCGGGAUGACCUCCGGCAACACCUCCGGCUGCCAAAUCAGCCCGUCAGCACCCCUGAACCUCAGACCGACAUCAAAGGUACGGGUGAUCUGCAUGCUAGAUACUGACGCGCGGCCCAACCUGGAUGUCGGGACCGGAUCGGACAGCAGCGGAUCAUGCUCGGGCACGAUCCCUAGCGAGCGUGCAAUGGCGGUGAUGUAUGAGCCAGUGUGCAGCUGCCCGCGGAGCUGCCGGUGGUAUGCUGUAGAAAAGUAAUCAGCCAGGCUGACUGCUAGAUCGCAGGGCUGGCGGCGUAGUAGGCAGUAUAGAAAGAAAAGGUCACUGAGGUUGACCUUCUCCUUGCUGGAACCCCGCGGCACGAUAGUUGACGCGAUAACAUGGUGCAGGUAUCGGUACAAGGGGUCUCUAAUGGUGGUGGCCUUUUGCCAGGAUUUCCCAAAGGGAGCCCUGGAAAUGGCCCUCCAGAAACUGAUAAGCGUCUGCCUGUCCAUCAUCGUAACCGCCUGCGUAUAUAAAUCAGUAUCAAGCUCAGGCUCUGUGUACAAACCUGUAACGACAGCAAACUCUCGCACACUCAUCUGAAACUCCUGACCGGCGAGACGGAAUGUAACCUCGUGGACUGGAAAAUUCGGGUCCUCCAUGUAAUCCGCCGGAUGCGGCGCGUAUGUAAACGUAGAAAGAAACUCGAUCGUAAGCUCAGGGUACGAGUCCUCCAUCGCUAACUCAAAUAGGCGCGACCAAGGAGUAUCUAGUCCAACUAUAUCACGCGCCCGCUCGACCUCUCCCAAGGUAGUCAGCAGCUCCCAGUCUAUCCCUACAUGUUCCCCAAUCUCUAUGGUGUGCAACCUAGCGCAUCUCCCCCUCGCCCGUGACCCCUGCGGAAACUGCAGGUACGGACAUGUCGGAUCUCCCUCGUCCCCCACCUCUCCCUCAGCCUCCAUAUGCUCAAUCUCGUCAUCGGAGGAAUCCAUCCCUGCACG
rnacentral:lncRNA from 1 species